rnacentral:rRNA from 1 species
UACGGAGGGUGCAAGCGUUAAUCGGAAUUACUGGGCGUAAAGCGCACGUAGGUGGUUUGUUAAGCCAGCUGUGAAAUCCCCGGGCUCAACCUGGGCACUGCAGUUGGAACUGGCAAGCUAGAGUAGGGUAGAGGGGUGUGGAAUUCCAGGUGUAGCGGUGAAAUGCGUAGAUAUCUGGAGGAACAUCAGUGGCGAAGGCGACUUCCUGGCCUGUUCUUGACGCUGAGGCGCGAAAGCUAGGGUAGCAAACGGG